GCCUACGGGGGGCAGCAGUCGAGAAUCAUUCACAAUGGGGGAAACCCUGAUGGUGCGACGCCGCGUGGGGGAAUGAAGGUCUUCGGAUUGUAAACCCCUGUCAUGUGGGAGCAAAUUAAAAAGAUAGUACCACAAGAGGAAGAGACGGCUAACUCUGUGCCAGCAGCCGCGGUAAUACAGAGGUCUCAAGCGUUGUUCGGAAUCACUGGGCGUAAAGCGUGCGUAGGCUGUUUCGUAAGUCGUGUGUGAAAGGCGCGGGCUCAACCCGCGGACGGCACAUGAUACUACGAGACUAGAGUAAUGGG
rnacentral:rRNA from 1 species